AAGAAUCUCAGGAUCUUGACACAAGCAGGGAACAGAAACCAUUUGGCUUCUGAUCAUCAUGGACUCACUAGGCUGCUGAGCAAGGGGCAUAUCUCCUGCCAGUCCAGGGAAGACAGUUUCCGGAAGCCAAGCUUGAGAAGCACGAAUUGAAAAGGGACAAAAAAGAAGUGAUCAGAGCAGGACCCCCAAAACUUGAGAAGAUGUGUGACCAACCAAAGUGCCACUCAAGCUGCCCGCCAAAAUGCAGUCCAAGCUGCCCGCCAAAAUGCAGUCCAAGCUGCCCGCCAAAAUGCAACCCAUGCUGCCCACCAAAAUGCAACCCAUGCUGCCCAUCAAAAUGCAACCCAUGCUGCCCAUCAAAGCCGUGCUGCUGUUUGGAGCCCAAGCCUGAGUGUACUUGCCUUAAUAAGGAGCCCGAUCCUGCUGCACCCCAAACUCAGAACAACUCCGAAACCCAGCAGCAGUCCCAAAGCCCAAAGCAGGGGCCCAAAAGUCCCCGGGGGCAGAAGUAACCAGACAAGUAGAUUGUCCCAAACAAGUAGACAGGCCAUGCCCACCACCCAGCGGCGUCAGGCUAGACCCACCUUUAGAAAAGCUGUUUCUCAGUGACCACCAUUUACUUUCAACCAGAAGCCCCUACCUCCCUUCAGAACCCCCCACCCUUGUGAGGCCCCAGCUGGAAAUAGGAGGUUGAAAAAGCUAGAACCAUCUUGCCUAGUGAUCCUGAUAUUAGAUAGCACAAAAAUAAAAGAGCAAUAAAGAAAA